CAGCAGCUGGGGGGAGACCCCCUGGCCGUGGAGAAAUGCAUACCCCUGCCUACACGCAGCUCCGAUUCUUCGCCAUUCUGGAGAGGUCUUCACUGGUCCUUCUAACUCCAGGUUGUUUUGGUCGUUAAACUGAUCAUUUGGUACUUGGGGAUCAGAAUAUUGAGUUCAAAUUGCUGCAAAACCAAAGAAAAAAAUGGACAUUCCUCAGAAAUCCUGGGCUCAAGCCUGAUGCCUGCGGAGCUUGUUUUGAUGACAACUAUACACUUUCUACCCUGCUGACAGGCAUCUUGGUCUCCAUCUUUACUUCCAAAAGAGGCUGAGAAAGGCACUCCUGAAUACUUUUGGGGCCAAGAACAUUUUCUGCAUUGUUUAAGGGAUGUAAUCUUUUUUUGCCUGACAGCUCUUUUUUUUUCAUGAUUUCUCUUUUUCUACCUCUUUUCUAAAUUAAAUGGCUAUAUCCUGGAGUAGCUGCCACCAAGUUCCUCAAUUUACGUUUCUUCUCCCACUCUUAACAUCUUAGCAUUUUCUCCUCAUUCUACAGACAGAAGUACAAAUGCCAAAUAAAAACAAUUAGCAAAACACAACCCCUUCUUAGUGGUGUUUAACCUUGACUACGGAUGCAAAAUAUUCCUGUGUUAAAUGUCCCCGAUCUUCUUUCAGGUUAUAAGGAAGGAUUUAAGCCUGAAUGGUGUGUAACAAUGAAUAAAUGAAAAGUGCUUGAUCAAUAUUUGACGAAGGUGCAAUGUGCAUAUCUGUUUUCAUAUUGUUGGAAGUGUAUCUUUAGGAAAUCCUAGAAGCGGGAUUGCUGGGUCAAAAGCAGCGAGCACUGUGGUACUUUUCAAUGGAUUUUACCCUUGUCCUCUGGGCCUUCCUGGUCACAGAAGUCUGGAGCAAGAGAGUCAAGAGGAGGAAGAAAAGAACAAGGAUCUGCAUUCAUGUCUCCUGCAGGGAUGCUCUCUGGUUCCACACUGGCUUUUAUCCAGACUUGUGUCUAAAUUUCUCUGCCUUGUGAAUGAAUAAAGUAAAAGGGGAAGGCUUGUGCCCCCCUUUUGAAAUUAUAUGAGUAGCGCAAGAUGUAUCUAUAGUAGGUCAAAUCAUGGCCCCCAAGAUAUGUCCAUGUUCUGUGAAUGUGACCUUAUUUGGCAAAAGAAUCUUUGCAGAUGUAAUUAAAUUAAAGAUCUUGAGAGGAGAUCAUUCUGAACUAUCUGGAUGGGCCCUAAAUUCAAUGACAAGUGUCCUUUUAAGAGACAAGAGACAACGAGGAUAGACUUGGAGAGAAGAGGAGAAGGCCAUGUAAAAACAGAGGCAGAGAUUACUCCACCAGAAGCUAGAAGAGAUGAGGAACCGUCUCCCUCAGAGACUUCAGAGGAAGCACAACCCCCAGACACCUUAAUUGCAGACGCCGCUUAUGUAGAACUGUGAGAGAAUAAAUUUCUGUCGUUUUAAGCCACCAAGUUUAUGGUUUUGCUCCAAGCAGCCCUAGGAAUCAAUGCAGUACCCAGUCAACAUUAAUCAUAAAUAAUGAGUAUAAGUACUACUGCUACUCCUAUCUUCCAUCUGUUGAGCAUCAUAUUUAAGAUAGCAGUUUCUGGGAGCUGCAAGUUAGCUCCUAAUUCUAUUCCCAAGAUGUCCCCCCUCAGCAAGCCUGACAGUGAUAUAAUUAAAAAAAACUAUUCGGUCUUUGUCCCCUGUUCCUGGCACAGAGCUCCUAAAACCCCGAGAAUUUCCUGAGCAGUUAAGAGUAUCUUUUGUAUGCUAAUGAGAUGAUCCAAGGCUGGGGGCCCCUCGAUAGUUUCAGGAUGAGGGCUGGUCACCAGAAAAACCAACCAGGGGAUUAGAGGGUUAGAACUUUCAGACUUGCCCCUCCCUCCACCUCUGGGGAGAGGAGAGGGACUGGAGAUUGAGUCUGGCUGCCAUCUGGGCAGCAAGGAGGACCUGGUACAGUCCCUUCUAAGGAGAUUCAAGAGUAGUCUCUGUUCUUAGUGAUUCUAAAUUAGAAGGGUGGGAGAAACAUUAGUUUGGAAAGUUGUAGCCAGAUGUUUGAGGAAACUAGAAGAAUUCAGGAUCCAGUCCAGUUUACAGGGAGAUAACAAACCAUUAAAGACUAAAAUCUGAUAUCUAAAAAGGCACAAAAAUAAUUUUUUUUCUACACUUGCCCCCAUUUUUAAUCAAAGAUAAUCAAAAUAAAACUAAUUUAUUUGCAUUAAACCUCAUCUGAUUAUUUACAUGAGUGCAGCAAGACUAUAGUGCUUGACCAUAUAAGCUUUUUAAAGACUGCUUUGCUAGGACUUUUUAUAAGGAAUAAUAGAUCGAACUCUUAAAAAAUCUCUCCUGGUCAAGUAGCCAAUCCAAAGUUCAAGCAGUUCCUUAAAGCUGUCUGGUCAUAUCUGAGUCUAUGCAUAUCUGUCUCAAAUUUGAUACUCCAGUCAAAGCCUUGUUGAUAUAGUCAGUAUUUCCAACUGUGUUCUGUUACAAGGAGAACAGAUUCUUACCGAAUUUGGCAAAUAACUAACUCUUUUGCCAUGAAAAGAAUACUUAACAAGUUUGCAAAUUCUAGAGGGAUUAGGUAGGAAGAAAAAGUAAAUGUUUCAUCUUUGUUUCCAAAGGCAUAUCUUACUAAAUUCUUGAUAGCUUUAAGAGAAAAGUUUCCUUAAAUCUGGAAAAGCAAAACAUAAAAGAACGAGCAAAAUUCGUAAAACUUAUAAUCAUCUUCAUCAUUUCAUUUAGCCUCAUGUUAUUAAUUCUUAUUCUGCUUGAAUUUUCCCAUUAAUUCUGGAAAUUUUCACCCAGUUCAGUUUUAUGAUCUUAAAGUGAUCAGAAACCU